rnacentral:rRNA from 1 species
GCUUACGGCCGUACCACCCUGAGAACGCCCGAUCUCGUCUGAUCUCGGAAGCUAAGAAGGGUCGGGCCUGGUUAGUACUUGGAUGGGAGACCGCCUGGGAAUACCAGGUGCUGUAAUCU